AAUCAACGCUGGCGGCGCGCCUAACACAUGCAAGUCGAACGAGAAAGUGGAGCAAUCCAUGAGUACAGUGGCGUACGGGUGAGUAACACGUGGGUAAUCUACCUUUUAGUGAGGAAUAACCGAGGGAAACUUCGGCUAAUACCGCAUAAGCCUGAGAAGGGAAAGCAGAAAUGCGCUGAAAGAGGAGCCCGCGGCCGAUUAGCUAGUUGGUGAGGUAAGAGCCCACCAAGGCAGAGAUCGGUAGCCGGCCUGAGAGGGCACACGGCCACA
rnacentral:rRNA from 1 species